rnacentral:tRNA from 1 species
GAGGGUGGAGCUGAGUGGUAGAGCAUGUGCUUAGCAUGCAUGAGGUCUUGGUUUCAAUCCCCACCCUCUUCA